GAAAGGCUGCCAUUAAUACAGCACCUUUCAUGAGCAUAUUGAGGUGCUUCACAGGGACAAGAGCAAACCAGGUUUGACACAAAGGAGACACAAGAGACUGCAGAUGCUGGAAUCUGGAGCAACAAACUAUCUGCUGGAGGAACUCAGCGGGUCGAGCAGCAUCCGUGGGAGGAAAGGAAUUGUCGACAUUUCGGGUUGAACCCUGUAUCAGGACUGAGAAUGGAGAGCUCGUUGAAGAAUGUGUAUUCUACGCAGAAGCUGGAGUUUGUUAAUGGAGUUGUCACUCACCAGGGAAUACAGGAAGAGGUUCAAGUACUUGCUUAUACACUGGGGGCAGUUUACAGUGGCUAGCUGAACUACCAACCAGCACGUCUUUGGAAUGUGGGAGGAAACCAAAGCACCCAGGGGAAACAGGAAGAACACUCAAACUCCACACAGACAACAGCAGAGAUCAGGAUCGAAGCUAGAUCGCUGGAGUUGUAAAGCGGCAGCACUACCUGCUGAACACUUUGCAGCCCCUAUCUGCCACUGUCGUUCUGCAUCUUUCAAACUUUUACUUUAAACAUGCAUUGAAUAAAA